rnacentral:misc_RNA from 1 species
UUUAGGGAGACCUAAUCCACUCAGAAUCUCGAAAGCAAAAAGCGAAUAGAGAAUGAGAGGGUCUAGCCUAGGUCGGUCGAGAUUGGUGAAAGCUUUCAAAGUAAUACUUUUCGGUUAAUUAACUAAAAAAGACUGCAAUUGAGAAGAGGAAGAGUCAGCAACUAACGGCUUAGAGAAGAGAGUUAGACUGCUGGUGUAAUUCCAGCCAGAACCUUGAAAACUGCAUAGAAACGCGAAAGAAUAGCAGGCAGACACAAGUAUCGAACAGAUAGAAAGUGUGUGCUGGAUGAGAACCAAUUGUAUUGU